rnacentral:rRNA from 1 species
AUUGAACGCUGGCGGCAGGCCUAACACAUGCAAGUCGAACGAGUGGCGGACGGGUGAGUAAUGUCUGGGAAACUGCCUGCUGGAGGGGGAUAACUACUGGACACGGUAGCUAAUACCGCAUACCAUCAGAUGUGCCCAGAUGGGCUUGGCUUGUAGGGGGGGUAAUGGCGCACCUAGAGGCCGAUCCCUAGCUGGUCUGAGAGGAUGACCAGCCAAACUGGAACUGAGACACGGUCCAGACUCCUACGGGAGGAAGCAGUGGGGAAUAUUGCACAAUGGGAGCAAGCCUGAUGCAGCCAUGCCGCGUGGGUGAAGAAGGCCUUCGGGUUGGAAAGCACUUUCAGCGAGGAGGCGUUACUCGCAGAAGAAGCACCGGCUAACUCCGUGCCAGCAGCCGCGGUAAUAC